rnacentral:lncRNA from 1 species
UCUCCCGGAGGCGCAUGAUGUCCUCGGCCAGGUUGUCGCGCUCCACCUCGACGCGGGCUUUGUCGUUGGUUAGCUGGUCCACCUGCCGGCGCAGCUCCCGCAUCUCCUCCUCGUAGAGGUCCCCCAGGCGCGACUUGCCUUGGCCCUUGAGCUGCUCGAGCUCGGCCAGCAGGAUCUUAUUCUGCUGCUCCAGGAAGCGCACCUUGUCGAUGUAGUUGGCGAAGCGGUCAUUCAGCUCCUGCAGCUCCACCUUCUCGUUGGUGCGGGUGGACGUAGUCACGUAGCUCCGGCUGGAGCUCGGCCGGCUCGCGGUGCCCGGGCCGCCGAACAUCCUGCGGUAGGAGGACGAGGACACGGACCUGGUGGACAUGGCUGCGGAGGGUGGCGAUGGCCUGGGCGGCGGCGGUGGCGCGGACUGGCUCCCGGAGAAGAGGCGAACGAGGGCGCGAAGCCUUCGAUGUGAGGCCCAGGCAUUGAGUACCAUGUGUGCGAUUCACAAGCCUUGGCAUCUGAACAAUUUUUUGGAAGGAUCCAUCAGGACAACACGUCGGGGGUGUACUAGUGAAGUGAUUUUCCAAAUGUGCUACUCAGACCUGUAGCAUCAGCAUCACCGGAUAAUUUGUUAGAAAUUCCAACUGUUAGGCCCCACUUUAGACCAACUGAAUGUGAAACUCUGGGAGUACGUGGGGCCCAGCAAUUUGUGUUUUUACAAGACUUACCAGGUGAUUCUGAGAACCACUGUGCUAGUGAAUUGUUCCUGUCUGUGGCCACGUAGAAUAAGAAAACCAUAGGGUUGGAAAAUGGGGAAACUGGUGAGUGUUCGCUUAUGAGGAAAUGAAGAAUAGAUAGAAAAGAAUUAGUUAACUUUUGGAAUUCAAAAGAGAAGCAGUUUGUAAAAGCCAGGAAUUUGAUUUGAAGGACUAAUUGCUUGCAGAAUCUUUGCUUUCUCAGAGAGGGGCAAUCCAGAUCACUAGGUUACCGUGAAAUAUGUUGGUAUGGCUCUAAAAUUCUAGAAUAAUCUCUCUAGUGAGAAAAGGCAUACCUUUCCAUAUUAGGACAAAACUUCAAAUCAGGUUUGUAAAAUCCUAUAAGAUUAUUGUAUCCCAUUGCCAUGGCCAACUUGUUUGUCUCUGGAGAUCCCAGUUUCUACAUCUGAAAACCAUAUGCAUUCCUGCUCACCAGGAAUUAUCUCGCUGAAUGAAGCAAGAGAUUCAGGAUGUGUAAGAGAAUUUAUGAAGCAUUUGGAUUACCAAGAAAUGUGAAGUAUAAAGAUCAAGAAUGAUUAUUACAAACACUGAUGGUAAAGAGGUGUUUCGAAGUCGAUGCAAAAAAUGAGUUGCUUAUUUCAGUCUCUCUUUGAUAUAUCUGCCUUUUUAGUGCUGACUCUAUCAUGUAUUCACUAUUUGAUUUUCAGUGAAUCACAUUUUUUAAAGCUUUUAAUCUGUUUCCUCAAAAAAUAUAUUUUUUAAAAAUAUUUACUCAGGAUUGUUGUGAGAAUAAAAUUGAUUCGAUUGAUAUUUCAAAAAAGAAAUAUAUUUUUAAAAAAUAAAGCAAUACCAUUUUUGGAUAUGCU